rnacentral:tRNA from 1 species
GGAGAGGUGCCUGAGCGGUUGAUAGGGCUGGUCUCGAAAACCAGUAACGGGCUUGUCCCGUUCGGGGGUUCGAAUCCCCCCCUCUCCG